UGUGUAGGCGGUUCUUUAAGUUUGGUGUGAAAUCUCCCGGCUCAACCGGGAGGGUGCGCCGAAUACUGAGGGACUAGAGUGCGGGAGAGGAAAGUGGGAAUUCCUGGUGUAGCGGUGAAAUGCGUAGAUAUCAGGAGGAACACCGGUGGUGUAGACGGCUUUCUGGACCGUAACUGACGCUGAGACACGAAAGCGUGGGUAGCAAACA
rnacentral:rRNA from 1 species